GGAGGGGUGCCUGAGUUUGGUUUAAAGGGUCCGACUCGAAAUCGGAUAUCCGCCUACAAGGUGGAUCGGAGGUUCAAAUCCUCUCCCCUCCG
rnacentral:tRNA from 1 species